rnacentral:ncRNA from 16 species
GCAGAUGAGGAGAAAGCACCUCCACUGAGUAUUGCGAUGAAGAUACGCCCACGACCUGAUG